rnacentral:rRNA from 1 species
GUAGGUGGCAAGCGUUGUCCGGAAUUAUUGGGCGUAAAGCGCGCGCAGGCGGUUCUUUAAGUCUGAUGUGAAAGCCCACGGCUCAACCGUGGAGGGUCAUUGGAAACUGGAGAACUUGAGUACAGAAGAGGAAAGCGGAAUUCCACGUGUAGCGGUGAAAUGCGUAGAGAUGUGGAGGAACACCAGUGGCGAAGGCGGCUUUCUGGUCUGUAACUGACGCUGAGGCGCGAAAGCGUGGGGAGCAAACAGGAUUAGAUACCCUGGUAGUCCACGCCGUAAACGAUGAGUGCUAAGUGUCAGGGGGUUUCCGCCCCUUAGUGCUGCAGCUAACGCAUUAAGCACUCCGCCUGGGAGUACGGCCGCAAGGCUG